AUUGAACGCUGGCGGCAGGCCUAACACAUGCAAGUCGAACGAGUGGCGGACGGGUGAGUAAUGUCUGGGACACUGCCUGAUGGCGGGGGAUAACUACUGGAAACGGUAGCUAAUACCGCAUACCAUCGGAUGUGCCCAGAUGGGAUUAGCUAGUAGGUUGGGUAACGGCUCACCUAGGCGACGAUCCCUAGCUGGUCUGAGAGGAUGACCAGGCACACUGGAAAUGAGACACGGUCCAGACUCCUACGGGAGGCAGGAGUGGGGAAUAUUGCACAAUGGGAGCAAGCCUGAUGCAGCCAUGACGCGUGUAUGAAGAAGGCCUUCGGGUUGUAAAGUACUUUCAGCGGGGAGGCGUUACCCGCAGAAGAAGCACCGGCUAACUCCGUGCCAGCCGCCGCGGUAAUAC
rnacentral:rRNA from 1 species